rnacentral:tRNA from 4 species
GCGGUCAUAGCUCAACUGGAUAGAGUGCCAGACUACGAAUCUGGAGGUUGGGAGUUCGAUUCUUCCUGACCGCGCCA